GGCCACCUUCGGGGGGCUUUAACAUAGCGGGUCCAAAGACAAGAACCUAAGGACCCGUGUGCUAGACGGAAGACAGAAA
rnacentral:ncRNA from 1 species